AUUGAACGCUGGCGGCAGGCCUAACACAUGCAAGUCGAGCGGAUGAAGGGAGCUUGCUCCUGGUUCCAGCGGCGGACGGGUGAGUAAUGCCUAGGAACCUGCCUGGUAGUGGGGGAUAACGUCCGGAAACGGGCGCUAAUACCGCAUACGUCCUGAGGGACAAAGUGGGGGAUCUUCGGACCUCACGCUAUCAGAUGAGCCUAGGUCGGCUUAGCUAGUUGGUGGGGUAAAGGCCUACCAAGGCGCCGACCCGUAGCUGGUCUGAGAGGAUGAUCAGUCCCACUGGAACGGAGACACGGUCCAGACUCCUACGGGAGGCAGCAGUGGGGAAUAUUGGACAAUGGGCGAAAGCCUGAUCCAGCCAUGCCGCGUGGGUGAAGAAGGUCUUCGGAUUGUAAAGCGCUUUAAGUUGGGAGGAAGGGCAGUAAGUUAAUACCUUGCUGUUUUGACGUUACCAACAGAAUAAGCACCGGCUAACUUUGUG
rnacentral:rRNA from 1 species